GACGAACGCUGGCGGCGUGCUUAACACAUGCAAGUCGAACGGAAAGGCCCUGCUUUUGUGGGGUGCUCGAGUGGCGAACGGGUGAGUAACACGUGAGUAACCUGCCCUUGACUUUGGGAUAACUUCAGGAAACUGGGGCUAAUACCGGAUAGGAGCUCCUGCUGCAUGGUGGGGGUUGGAAAGUUUCGGCGGUUGGGGAUGGACUCGCGGCUUAUCCGCUUGUUGGUGGGGUAGUGGCUUACCAAGGCUUUGACGGGUAGCCGGCCUGGGAGGGUGACCGGCCACAUUGGGACUGAGAUACGGCCCAGACUGCUACGGGAGGCAGCAGUGGGGAAUAUUGCACAAUGGGCGGAAGCCUGAUGCAGCAACGCCGCGUGCGGGAUGACGGCCUUCGGGUUGUAAACCGCUUUCGCCUGUGACGAAGCGUGAGUGACGGUAAUGGGUAAAGAAGCACCGGCUAACUACGUG
rnacentral:rRNA from 1 species